CGUCCUCCCAUCCCUCGCCCCUUUUCCCUCUGAAACCUCCCACGCUGCAUCUUCUCUUCUCGCUUCCCCGCUGCCAUGCGCCAACCCCGCCGUCACCCGUCGAUCCGGCUGCGGCGCUGCGCACUUCCACCCUCGUUGCCCUCUCUAGUCCAGCAACAUCACCUGCUCCCUUCAACUCCCAUCUCGAUCUUCAUGGCCCUCAGAUCUAGCAGCCCUCGGCCACGAUGCUGCCGGAUCUGGUCGGCUUGGCCUCAUCGCCCCAACCAAUAGGUGCUCGACGCCACUCCUCACGAUUCAGGAACGCAGCGGUCUUCUUCAUCAGCUCUAUAUCUCUCCACUUCCUACGCCAUGUAUCGGCCAUCUGCCCUUUCUUGAAGCUCCUCCUCAUCCAAGUGGCCACCUGAUGUUGCCGAGUGGACCACGCUCACUCGCGCCUUCGCCCACCAGUACCAGGAUUUUCUCGUGUCUUUCAAGUUGAAUACCGGGGAGAUUGAGGAGAUGGUUCCAUGGCGGGCUACUAUGGUGGUGAGGUUCACGUUCUACAGUGAGGCCAUGGCCAUCGUUGUUUGCAUGUCUGUUUAGGUGGCAGUUGGGACUAUCUGAAGAGCAAUAAUGUAAUGCUUUUGAGCUGAGGUACAUGAAGUCGUAUUUGAAAGCGGACGAGAUGAUGUUUGUCAACACGAAACUGAAAAGGUUGGUCCAUCAUCUCUUAGCCAUACAUCCCAUCUAGUUAUGCGCCAAUUUAGUUCUAGACAACAUGCGCAUGGAGAAACAUAUAUGCGAAAAUACAUGUAUCUUCAUCACUACCAUUGAGUUCUGAACUUCUAAUAAGAACAUUGCCCUGUCAAUCGACUUCCUUGUUUUGAGACCUUCCUUUUUUUAUUUGAGAUCUUGUGUCUGAGGCACACUGACCACUUGGCCAGCGUACAAUGCCUUUGAAGACCAUGCUAUACAGAUAACUUGCUUUGGGACCUUCUUUUUUUAGCUGAUUUCUUAGCUUACCACAUUGCCUAGGUGAUACUACUGUACUAUAUAUAUAAUGUAUGCACCUGCUUGUGCCCUAUUUUCCUAGAUGUGGCUCAUAACUGAGAUAUCUAUCUAUGGACUAGCUGUUUUCUUUACACUAAAUCUAUCUUAAUUACGGUGCGAGGGGUAAAAUUUUGUUGAACUCAUAUAGGAAUUUUUUUUCCUAUAUCACAUGGCCAUCUUGGUCUAACUAUAGCACAUGGGGCUUCUGGAGAUAUGAUGAAUAUAGUUAAUUAGAAAAUUGUCAUGUGCUUGGAAUUAUAUGAAUGUUACAAGUAAUUCAAAAAGCAUGAUGUGUUCUGAACUGUUGCAAACUUAUUAUAAAAUUGAAAUCACUGUGGUUUAUUGGUAUAUUAUUUCUGUAGUAUACAGAGCAACGUGUAGUCCUCAUUCUUUAUUAUUUUGAGUAUGUGUUCCUGCUGAUUCAUGUUACCCUGAAAAUUGCAUGUGAAGGAUCAAAAGGUAAAUGUGUAGUCAUACUGCUAGAUAGCAGCUAACUAGUCAGUUAAAAGAUCUAAAGUUUGUCACUAUAUGCUCAAUUAAAUUUCAACUACAUUACAUCAUUUUCAUCUCCCUUACAACUAGUCUAGUGAAACAAUACUGGAGGAAUCGUGAUCUAUGGCAAGGGUGAUGAUGUCUAUGGCGAUGAUUGUCAUGAUCUACAUGGCGAUGAGCAUUAUGAUCCAUGAAGGGUGAUGAGUCUAAUGAUCUUUCUUCAGGACAUGCAACAAAGUGAACUUCUGAAGUUUUGGUCAAUUUUAGCUUAGGCAUAAUGCUUGGACCAUUAUAUAUUAGUUACUAUUUUGUUUUGCAUUUCAAACUUCCUAGAUAGAUCAUGAUGAACAGUGUAAUUUGGAUGCACGUCAUUAGGCUUAUGGUAUUUUGGAAGUUGCACUAAAUAUAAUAUAUGUU